GUCCACGCCGUAAACGAUGGAUACUAGCUGUUGGAAGCAAUUUCAGUGGCUAAGCGAAAGUGAUAAGUAUCCCACCUGGGGAGUACGUUCGCAAGAAUGAAACUCAAAGGAAUUGACGGGGGCCCGCACAAGCGGUGGAGCAUGUGGUUUAAUUCGAUGAUACGCGAGGAACCUUACCAAGGCUUAAAUGUAGAUUGACCGGUUUGGAAACAGACUUUUCGCAAGACAAUUUACAAGGUGCUGCAUGGUUGUCGU
rnacentral:rRNA from 1 species